GGCGAGGUGUACCGAGGAGCGACGGCGGUGUAGGUGGGUGCAAGGCGCAGCGACGGCGGCAGUGCGCUGGUGCGGGGUCAGCGGUGGAGGCCGGAUCCAUUGUCACGGGCAUGAACUCCGGCGGCCGAACGCCGAAUCUGACGGUGGGCUGUCGGAUUUCGAUGGCGAGUGCCGCAUCCCGAGCGGGGAGGACGGAUCGGCGGCUGCGCACGGCGGCGGGCAGCGGGACGCGGCGAUGGGCUUGGUGGGUCCUUUGAUGGGCUCGCCGGGCUUGUCGACGGAUUUUUUCUUUGUUUUAUUUUUUUAUUAACCGAGGCAGGCAGCAAACCGCCUCGGAAAAUAGGUCAUUUAUCGUGACCUUUGAUUCGAGGCGGUUGCGAAAAACACCUCGGUUAAUCGUUUUUGCCCGCCUCGGUUAAUCAUUAUUGUAGUAGUGUUUAGUUUUACUUACUCCAUGCAUGACCUAUGCUAAAACUAUUAACUGCUACUACUUUUUUCGCUUUUUCUUUUGCAAAAAAAAUAUUGUUUUCUGCCUAGGCGUACCAAUUUACACCAACAUAGCUUGUGAUAUGGAUAUAAGAUGGCCUAAGUUUAGUUUUCUUCAGAUCUAUAAAAUAUUUAUAGGGAAAGCUUGUAUAACUAUAUGUUUGCAUACUAUUAAGAGCUCCUAUGAUAUUAAGUUAUUAAGAGCUCCUAUAUCAUUGUUCCCAAAGGAGCUAACUGCAUCUUGAGUUCAUGAGAUUCAAGAGUCCAUUCGUGGUGGAGAAGCUCAACUCUGGUGGGUUUUAUCAUGUUGCACAAUUGGUCCAUUCAAUGUAUCGAUUUGUGAUGCUUUCAAGAUCCUGAAAGAAUCAAUAUUGUUCAUAUAAUUUUGGACUCAAACUCUGCGGUAAGAUUUGUCCACUAAGUCUGUUUGAUGUGUUUAAUUGAUCAGUGAAGCAUCAACAUAUACAUGAUAACCUCUGCUAACCCUUUGUUAAUUAGAAGCACUACUCUUUUCUUAUCCAAAGUAGUUUCAAAAGUUUAAAAACAGUAGUUUCAGAAUGCAGGCUCAUUAUUUUCCAUUUUGGUGCAGGUUCACAGCAGAUUUUUCAUUGAUAUGUACUAUUGGAAUAUAACUAACCAACUGGAAUAUGGUGACAUUGGUGCACUUUAUCAUUCUCAUCACAGAUGUUAAAGUAGAUAAGUUUCCCCCGCUCAUCUUUAUGCAUUUGCAUUACAUAUGUUGCAAGAUUUAAAGUUGGAUCCGUGGAGAAUACACAUCAUACGAGCUGAUAUGAUCAAAAUUGUGCACGUGUGUGGAAUUUUGAAGAGAGAGCUCAUCAUGCCUGGAGUUUUAUUUUUAUGAAUGUGCUGAGUGUGGUAACGAACUUCCAGUGUAGGAGUUGCUAGUGUACGUGAUCUUUAUCAAGCAUAUAGUGAAGAGUAUCUCGCUAGGGUCACAAAAUUUGAUAGAGCUCAAAGUAAUGGCGAGACACAUAUGCGUAAGGUUUAUUUCAUGUAAAUCAACAUAUGGCUUUGGUAGGUCAGACAUAGGGAAUUAUAGGCUAUGGAAUAUUUUUUUGAAAUAAAAUUUUCCAGUCGUGCAAGCAGA